rnacentral:rRNA from 1 species
UACGUAGGGGGCUAGCGUUGUCCGGAAUCAUUGGGCGUAAAGGGUGCGUAGGCGGUUUGACAAGUCUGAUGUGAAAUCUAUGGGCUCAACCCAUAGCCUGCAUUAGAAACUGUCGGGCUUGAGUAUGGGAGAGGUGAGUGGAAUUUCCGGUGUAGCGGUGAAAUGCGUAGAUAUCGGAAGGAACACCUGUGGCGAAAGCGGCUCACUGGACCAUAACUGACGCUGAUGCACGAAAGCUAGGGGAGCAAACAGG